GAUGAACGCUGGCGGCGUGCUUAACACAUGCAAGUCGAGCGAACAGACCAUGCGCUUGUUCCUUGCUCGUUUGCCGCGCAGGUGUGUAAAACACGUGUAUCCUCCCCCUAUCAGUCUGGGAUAUCCACGGGAAACCGGCUAUUACCCCGGAUAAUAUCCUGCUCCACGUGGUUCAUUAGUAAAAGACGGCUUUGCGGGAUCGUCUCGCUGCUUCUCCGCUGCUUUAGCUAGUUGUUGAGGUAACGGCUUAUCAAGGCUACGAUGCGUAGCCGACUUGAGAGGGUGAUCGGCCACACUGGAACUGAGACACGGUCCAGACUCCUACGGGAGGCAGCAGUAGGGAAUCUGCCGCAAUGGGCGAAAGCCUGACGGAGCAACGCCGCGUGUGUGAUGGAGGUCUUCGGAUCGUAAAACUCUGUUAUUAGGGAAGAACAAAUGUGUAAGUAACUAUGCACGGCUUGACGGUACCUAAUCAGAAAGCCACGGCUAACUACGUG
rnacentral:rRNA from 1 species